CCACAAACCUUCACAAUCGCGGGAAACCGUGAUAAGGGGAUCUCGAGUGCCAGCAUAUAAUGUUGGCUGUCCAGAUGCUUAAAAAGCAUUUGUUAGCAAGGGCCGGGCAAGACCGGUGCCAGCCGCCGCGGUAACACCGGUGGCCCGAGUGGUAACCGUUAUUAUUGGGCCUAAAGCGUCCGUAGCAGGUUCUGUAAAUCUCCUGUGAAAUUGUCGUGCUUAACGCGACAGCAUGCAAGAGACACUGCAAGACUUGGGACCGGGGGGAGUCAGAGGUAUUUCGUGGGGAGCGGUAAAAUGCUAUAAUCCACGAAGGACCACCUAUGGCGAAGGCAUCUGACUAGAACGGAUCCGACUGUGAGGGACGAAAGCUAGGGGAGCGGACCGGAUUAGAUACCCGAGUAGUCCUAGCUGUAAACGCUGCGAGCUAGGUGUUGCGCAAUCUUAGAGGUUGCCCAGUAUCGGAGCGAAGGUGUUAAGCUCGCCGCCUGGAAAGUACGGUCGCAAGGCUGAAACUUAAAGGAAUUGGCGGGGGAAAGGGCGAAUUCGUUUAAACCUGCAGGACUAGUCCCUUUAGUGAGGGUUAAUUCUGAGCUUGGCGAAAUCAUGGCAUAGCUGUUUUCCGGA
rnacentral:rRNA from 1 species